rnacentral:lncRNA from 1 species
GUGGAUCAAGUUCGAGUAUAUAGCCUAAAUAGUCUAUAGUAUAUGAAAUAAAGGUUGGGCGCCUUAUUUAGAGAAACUAUGGAUGCGGCCCACUUUGUAGUACAAACGAGGUGAUCCUAAUCGUUCAUGUAGAGACAUGAAAGUGGGGGCAUCCUAUGUAAAGUGUUUACAUAAGACUGAACCAUGAAUUAGUCUUUUUUACGUUAUAACACCGUUUACUGUUUAAAACUGACUAUCUCAAUUAUUGAUGACCUAGGUAACUUAGCCUUAAUCUUGAGUUAACUAUGAACUCCUGUUCACACGAGAUUAUCCUUAGAUCUUCAUAGGUGAGGGCAGCUCAUCAGCGUUGGCCCAAUAAGCCUCCCAUUUCAAGGGUAAGAUCGAGUGGAUAGCUGGGAACAUAGGGUACAAGAUGAAAUUCACUCCUACCCGCUUUAGGGUUAGUAGAUAGGUUGUUCUCUUAAGCACUGAAUCCAAGUCUUGAACAAGGGGCCCCACCCUCUCAUUGGCCCGAGAGGAAUUAAGUUUAUAGGUUGAACCUUAAACCAAUUGUUCAAUAGUGGAUUAAUGGGACUUAAGGAGCAGGAUGUAAUCUUGGGGUAAAACGGUAUUUUAACCCAGCCAAGGUUACGAGCAACCUUGAAGGAUUAACUUACCGAUUAUGGUUUUAUCAAAUGGACAUAAAUAUAUCUAUAGUGAGGGGAGUGCAACUACGGGACAUUAGUGGAAUGACCCGUUAGUUAACGAAUAUUGAUUAACUCUGUCUAAAAGAGUUUAGCUAGUUAAUCUUGAAUCGUUGGAGCCCAUGAUCUAUAGGUCCAUUAGGUUCCUCUACUAGCUCAUAUGGAUUAAACUUAGAACUGUGUGAUGAAAUAAGUCGAAUUGUUCGAAUUGGGAGAAGAAAGAGAAACCGACAAGUAUAGUGAUAUAGUCGUCGGUCUUCUAAUUAGAAAAGGAGCUUCAUGUUUUUCAUACUAUAAGUAUGAAUGCGGAUUCAUACUAAAAAGCUCGGAAUUGAUGGAAUUGGUCAAAAAUUGUAAAAAGUCAAAAUGUUGACUUUUGACUUUGAAAAGUCAAACUUUGACCGACCUUAUAUUCAAAUGUGAUUUGAAUUUUGGAAAAAUGAAUGUGGAUUCAUGCUCGGGAGGUUGGAAUUAGUCAAGAUGGACAAAAUGGUAAAAAGUCAAAAUAUUGACUUUUGACUUAGAAAAGUCAAAGUUUGACUUUUGACUAGAAAUAUCUAAUGACCAUUUUACCCUUGGACUAAGUUAGUGGGAAAAUCCAACAUUUUGUUGGAUAAUCCCACUAAAUCUUAGUGGGAUAUGUGGCUAUAUGAGAUAUAGACACCUAGCCCACUAAGUUCCACUAAUUGUUAGUGGAACAUUAGGUGUUGAGAUUUGACAAAUGAAUUACAUGCAAAAAUGCAUGUAAUUAGGUUAUAAAUAGAGGUGUUUUCAAAUGUUGAAGGACUUUUGCCUCUUUUAUCAUUUUCAUCAUCUCAACCAAAGAAAAAAAAGAAACCUUCUAACCCCCUUUUAUCUCCAUUACUUUCUACACAAAAUUGGGUCCCACAACCCGAUUCUUUGUUUAGAGGAUAGCAGUUGAGUACUAGUGGUGGUCUCGGUUUGAAUUGGUAAGAAGAUAUCAAACUUUUUGAAAGCUUCAAAGGUAAUAUUUCCUAAAACCCUAAUUUGAUUAGUUUAUGGUUACAUGUUAAUUGUGGCAAUUAGGGUAGAAAUUCGAUUCUUUUUCCGCUGUGCAUGACUUAGUUCUAUCAUGUGGUAUCAGAGCAUGCUUCAUUUUUACCCAAUUGCAUGUGGUGGGUUCAUAUUUAUUAGAUAAAUUUUGGUUUGAACUAAAAUGGAUAUAUUAUGAUUUUGGCUAUAGAUUAAGUGUUUUUUGUUCUAAUUAUUGUAAUUAGCCUCGUUAAUGGCUUAUUUUUAUUAUUGCAAAGUGUUUGUAAUUUUUUUUUUAAAAAAAGUCAUUAGAGUUGAAGUUAGGCUGUAAUUGGUUCAACCGGGUGAGAGAAUUAAAAAAAAAGGUAAAGAAGGUCACAGACCCGAAAACCCGACUUCGACCCGCCAGCAACCCGUGCGUUCGUCUGCGCCCGCGCGCCUUCUUCUGCUCGCCUGCGCCCGCACGCCCGCUUGCGUCCAUGCGCCCGACCCGUGUGCGCCUGGGCCUGUUUGGUUAAUUGGGCCGGUUCAAGCCCAAUAAAUUUGGUUUUUGGGCCGGUUCAAGCUGUUUUUGUUGGUUUUUCAGCCGGUUCGAAGUUUUUGGGAGUAGUUCUAUACUACACCAAAUUAAUUAUGUAAUAAUUUAGUACUUAGCUUAAUUUAGGAGCCAAAAAUCAGUCUAUUUUAGGGUGUUUUUUUUAAUUAAUUUAUGCAUGUGAUGUAUGAUUUAAUUACUUUAAAUUUGUAUGUGCAUUUUGAAUGUCAUAUAGAUUUAAAAUCCCACCAUAGGUUAACAUAUUCAUGCAUUAAAAGUAUGAUAUAAUGGUUAUAUUGUAUUGUAUGCAUGUUAAUUGAUUAAUAUGGAAAUUAAUUAAUAUGAUUAAUUAAUUGUUUAAUAAUUAAGUUAUUCUUGAUUAAAAUAGAACACUUCAGCUAGAGAAAAAUAAUGUAUUUUAGCUCUAGUGUCCUAAGAGUUCACACCGUGAGGUCCAUGCAGGGCUUUGUGCGUGCAUAGGAGCGGACUCCCUUCGGAGAGUGUUUGCAUGGAUCAAAAUCAAGGUGAAUAGGGGAAGUAGUUCAUAGUAAGUGGGUGAGGGAUAUGUGGCAGCACAUCCCACGGUCUCUUCCAUUAGGUCGCACCGUGAGAUUUCUAUAAUAUGCCUACUUGUCUGUCUUGGAGCGACGUUCCUUUCGGAGGGUUGUAUUAUAGGAUUCGAAACACCGCGAACUCCAAAUCUGGAUAGGUUUUCUUAGAUUAGUUUUCAUAAAUGAUUCUAAUCUAUGAAAUCUGAAAAUGGUAGGUAACACUUACAAGAAUUACUAAGUUGUUAGUAUAUUCUCGACUAAAGUAGCGAUAACUAAGUGCUAUAAAGAUAAGCAGUUAUUCUAGAGAUAGCAUCUAGUCAAGAUUGUCUUGGUUAAAAGGAGGAAUAAUCAACUACCCUUCGGAGAAGGUUGUUCUAAACCUUUGAAAUAUUGUUGCAAAAUACAAAUAAUGAAAGGGUACAUUAUUAGUAAAUUGCUAAAUUAGAUUGGAUAUUUUUAUGAUUAUAGUUUUUUCCUAAAAGAAUAUGUUUGUUUUUCAGCAUGAAUAGCUCAAUAGUUCAACUUUUAGCUUCCGAAAAACUUAAUGGGGAUAAUUAUGCGGCUUGGAAAUCAAAUCUUAACACAAUACUAAUGGUUGACGAUUUAAGAUUUGUCUUAACUGAGGAAUGUCCUCAAAACCCUGCCUCUAAUGCUAACCGAACUAGUCGUGAUGCAUAUGAUCGAUGGAUAAAAGCUAAUGAAAAAGCAUGUGUCUACAUUCUUGCCAGCAUGUCUGAUGUAUUGGCAAAGAAACAUGAAUCCUUAGCCACGACUAAAGAGAUUAUGGAUUCAUUAAGGGGAAUGUUUGGGCAACCAGAAUGGUCCUUAAGACACGAGACAGUCAAAUACAUUUACACUAAGCGUAUGAAGGAAGGGACCUCUGUUAGAGAACAUGUUCUGGACAUGAUGAUGCACUUCAACAUCGCUGAAGUAAAUGGUGGUCCCAUCGAAGAGGUUAAUCAAGUUAGCUUUAUCUUAGAGUCUCUUCCGAAGAGCUUCAUUCCAUUCCAAACGAAUUCGUCUUUAAACAAGAUAGAAUUUAACCUGACAACCCUUCUGAAUGAACUCCAGCGAUUCCAAAACCUUACUGUGGGUAAAGGAAAACAAGUGGAAGCAAAUGUUGCUACCACAAAAAGAAAAUUUACAAGGGAAAGACUCCCAAACAGAACAAGGGUAAGAAAGGUGCAGAAAAAGAUAAGUGUUACCAUUGUGGCCAAAACGGGCACUGGUUAAGAAACUGCCCAAAAUACCUUGCAGAAAAAAAAGGCAGAGAAGGAAACACAAGGUAAAUAUGAUUUACUAGUUGUAGAAACAUGUUUAGUGGAAUAUGAAAAUUGUACCUGGAUACUAGAUUCAGGAGCCACUAACCAUAUUUGCUUCUCAUUUCAGGAAAAUAGUUCUUGGAAAAAGCUUUCAGAAGGCGAGAUCACUCUCAAGGUUGGAACAGGAGAGAUGGUCUCAGCUAGAGCAGUGGGAGAUUUAAAGUUGUUUUUUAAAGAUAGAUAUGUCAUACUUAAGAAUGUCUUAUAUGUACCUCAAAUGAGAAGAAAUUUAAUAUCUAUCUCUUGUAUUUUGGAACAAAUGUAUAGAAUAUCUUUUGAAAUUAAUGAAGCAUUCGUUUUCUAUAAAGGUAUUCUAGUUUGUACUGCCAUACUUGAAGACAACUUAUAUAAGUUAAGACCAACCAGAGCAAAUUUUGUCUUAAAUACUGAAAUAUUCAAAACAGCUGAAACUCAGAAUAAAAGACAAAAGGUUUCUUCUAAUGCCUAUUUAUGGUACUUAAGACUUGGUCACAUAAAUCUCAAUAGGAUUGGAAGAUUGGUUAAAAGUGGGGUUCUAAGUCGGUUAGAAGAUAACUCUUUACCUCCUUGUGAAUCUUGUCUUGAAGGAAAAAUGACCAAGAGAUCUUUUACUGGAAAAGGUCUAAGAGCCAAAGGACCCUUAGAGCUCGUACAUUCGGACCUUUGUGGACCAGUGAAUAUCAAAGCCCGAGGUGGAUAUGAAUAUUUCAUCAGCUUCAUUGAUGAUUAUUCAAGGUAUGGUCAUAUUUACCUAAUACAUCAUAAGUCUAAUAGUCUUGAAAAGUUCAAAGAAUAUAAGGCUGUAGUAGAAAAUGAAUUAGGUAAAACAAUAAAAAUACUUCGAUCAAAUCAAGGUGGAAAGUAUAUGGACUUACGAUUCCAAGACUAUUUGAUAGAAAAUGGAAUCCAGUCACAACUCUCUACACCUAGUGCACCGCAACAGAACAGUGUAUCAGAAAGAAGAAACCAAACCUUGUUAGACAUGGUUCGCUCUAUGAUGAGUUUUGCUCAGAUGCCAGAUUCUUUUUGGGGUUAUGCUUUAGAAACAGCUGUUUAUAUUUUGAAUAAUGUUCCCUCUAAAAGUGUUUCAGAAACACCUUAUGAGCUAUGGAAAGGGCGUAAAGGAAGUUUACAUCAAUUUAGAAUUUGGGGUUGUCCAACACACGUGUUGGUGCAAAAUCCUAAGAAAUUGGAACAUCGUUCAAAAUUAUGCUUUUUCAUAGGUUAUCCAAAAGAAUCAAGAGGUGGUUUGUUUUAUGAACCUCAAGAAAAUAAAAUAUUUGUGUCAACAAAUGCCACAUUCUUAGAGGAAGACCACAUCAGGAAUCAUCAACCUCGUAGUAAACUAGUAUUAAAUGAAAUUUCCAAAAGUGCUAUAGAUAAACCUAGUUCAUCCACUAAAGUAGUUGAUAAGACUAGGAAAUAUGGUCAGUCACAUCCUUCUCAACAGAGAGAGCCUCGAUGUAGUGGGAGGGUUGUUCAUCAACCUGAUCGCUAUUUGGGUUUAAUUAAAACUCAAGUCGUCAUACCCGAUGAUGGCAUAGAGGAUCCAUUAACCUAUAAACAGGCAAUGAAAGAUGUAGAUCGUGACCAAUGGAUCAAAGCCAUGAACCUCGAAAUGGAGUCCAUGUACUUUAGUUCUGUCUGGACUCUAGUAGAUCAACCAAAUGACGUAAAACCUAUUGGUUGUAAAUCGAUCUACAAGAAAAAACGAGACCAAGCCGGUAAAGUACAGACUUUUAAGGCUCGACUUGUGGCAAAGGGUUAUACCAGAGAGGGAGUAGACUAUGAGGAAACUUUCUCUCCCGUUGCCAUGUUAAAGUCAAUUAGAAUACUCUUAUCCAUCGCCACUUUUUAUGAUUAUGAAAUUUGGCAGAUGGAUGUCAAGACAACUUUUUUGAACGGUAAUCUUGAAGAGAGUAUCUAUAUGUCUAAACCAGAGGGGUUUAUAGAACAAGAUCAAUAACAAAAGGUUUGUAAGCUUAACAAAUCCAUUUAUGGAUUAAAACAAGCAUCUAGAUCCUGGAAUAUAAGAUUUGAUACUGCGAUCAAAUCUUAUGGCUUUAAACAAAAUGUUGACGAGCCUUGUGUUUACAAAAAGGUCGUUAAUUCCAUUAUAGCAUUUUUAGUCUUAUAUGUAGAUGAUAUUCUACUUAUUGGAAAUGACGUAGGAUAUCUUACUGAUAUCAAGAACUGGCUAGCUAUGCAAUUUCAAAUGAAAGAUCUGGGAGAUGCACAAUACGUUCUCGGAAUCCAAAUUGUUCGAAACCGUAAGAACAAAACACUAGCCAUAUCUCAAGCAUCUUACAUAGACAAAAUGUUGUCUAGAUAUAAAAUGCAGAAUUCCAAAAAGGGUCUGCUGCCGUACAGAUAUGAAAUUCAUUUGUCAAAGGAACAAUGUCCUAAGACACCUCAAGAAGUUGAGGAUAUGAGAAAUAUUCCCUAUGCUUCCGCUGUUGGAAGUUUAAUGUAUGCAAUGUUAUGUACUAGACCUGACAUUUGCUACUCAGUAGGGAUGGUCAGUAGGUAUCAAUCCAAUCCUGGACGUGAUCACUGGACAGCCGUUAAAAACAUUCUAAAAUAUCUUCGAAGAACAAAAGACUACAUGCUCGUGUAUGGUACAAAGGAUCUGAUCCUUACUGGAUACACUGAUUCAGAUUUCCAAACUGAUAAAGAUGCUAGAAAGUCUACAUCAGGAUCAGUAUUUACUCUAAAUGGAGGAGCAGUAGUUUGGAGAAGCAUAAAGCAAACUUGUAUAGCUGAUUCCACAAUGGAAGCUGAAUACGUAACGACUUGUGAAGCAGCAAAAGAAGCAGUAUGGCUAAGAAAAUUCUUGACACAUUUGGAAGUCGUUCCAAAUAUGCAUCUACCAAUCACUUUAUACUGUGACAACAGUGGUGCAGUUGCAAAUUCAAGAGAACCUAGAAGCCAUAAAAGAGGAAAGCAUAUUGAAAGCAAGUACCAUCUUAUCAGGGAAAUUGUACAUCGUGGUGACGUUGUAGUAACCCAAAUUUCUUCUCAGCAAAACAUUGCUGAUCCUUUUACAAAAGCCCUCACGGCUAAAGUGUUUGAGGGUCACCUACACAGUUUAGGUCUACGAUUUUUGUAAACUAGGACAAGUGGGAGACUUAUUGGCCAUGUGCCCUAGUUUCAUAUAUAUUCUCUCACACCACAUCUCUCAUACCACUAGGAAUUUUAGUCCAAGUGGGAGUUUGUUGGAAUUUUUUAUCCUAAAACUCGUAGUUUGUAAUCAUAUUCUCUUCAAUAAAGUUGUUAUUGAGAAAUUAAAUAUUAUAAUAUUAAAUCCAAUAAAUCAAGUUCCAAGGCUAUUUUUGAAUAAACUUGAACUUUAUGUGUAAACAUAAACAUGGAUCAAGUUCGAGUAUAUAGCCUAAAUAGUCUAUAGUAUAUGAAAUAAAGGUUGGGCACCUUAUUUAGAGAAACUAUGGAUGCGGCCCACUUUGUAGUACAAACGAGGUGAUCCUAAUCGUUCAUGUAGAGACAUGAAAGUGGGGGCAUCCUAUGUAAAGUGUUUACAUAAGACUGAACCAUGAAUUAGUCUUUUUUACGUUAUAACACCGUUUACUGCUUAAAACUGACUAUCUCAAUUAUUGACGACCUUGGUAAUUUAGCCUUAAUCUUGAGUUAGCUAUGAACUCCUGUUCCCACGAGA